rnacentral:rRNA from 1 species
AUUGAACGCUGGCGGCGUGCUUAACACAUGCAAGUCGAUCGGUAACAGGUGUAGCAAUACAUGCUGACGAGAGGCGGACGGGUGAGUAAUGCUUGGGAAUCUGCCUAUUAGUGGGGGACAACCCGGGGAAACUCGGGCUAAUACCGCAUACGCUCUACGGAGGAAAGCCGGGGACCGCAAGGCCUGGCGCUAAUAGAUGAGCCCAAGUCGGAUUAGCUAGUUGGUAGGGUAACGGCCUACCAAGGCGACAAUCCGUAGCUGGUCUGAGAGGACGACCAGCCACACUGGGACUGAGACACGGCCCAGACUCCUACGGGAGGCAGCAGUGGGGAAUUUUGGACAAUGGGGGCAACCCUGAUCCAGCCAUGCCGCGUGCGGGAAGAAGGCC